rnacentral:rRNA from 1 species
CAAUAGCGUAUACUAAUGUUGUUGCAGUUAAAAAGCUCGUAGUUGAACUUCUGGUAGGAGUGUCCCGGCCUUUUUGUUUUUACAAAUUGUAUGCUGUGUGACAUCUCUGGCCAUCCUUCUUCUUUGUUUAAAGAAGAUCAUUCACUGUAAAAAAAUUAGGGUGUUCAAAGCAAAAGUUUCUUUGGAAUAUAUUAGUAUGGGAUGAUAAGAUAGGCUCUAGAUGCUAUUUUGUUGGUUUGCACAUUUAGAGAAUGAUUAACAGGGACAGUUGGGGGUAUUCGUAUUUACAUGUCAGAGGUGAAAUUCUUGGAUUUUGGAAGGACGAACUACUGCGAAAGCAUUUACCAAGGAUGUUUUCAUUAA